rnacentral:ribozyme from 1 species
CUCAGGUGGGGUGUCAUCGUCGAAAGAGGGCUGGUGGAGGAGGAGUUGGGCGCCAUUUUGUAUCAACUCUGACUUCUUUUCUUUUUGUCUCUCUCUUUUUCCCACUCUCUCGUUCCCUCUCUUUUAUC